AUUGAACGCUGGCGGCAGGCCUAACACAUGCAAGUCGAGCGGAUGAAGGGAGCUUGCUCCUGGAUUCAGCGGCGGACGGGUGAGUAAUGCCUAGGAAUCUGCCUGGUAGUGGGGGAUAACGUCCGGAAACGGGCGCUAAUACCGCACACGUCCUGAGGGAGAAAGUGGGGGAUCUUCGGACCUCACGCUAUCAGAUGAGCCUAGGUCGGAUUAGCUAGUUGGUGGGGUAAAGGCCUACCAAGGCGACGAUCCGUAACUGGUCUGAGAGGAUGAUCAGUCACACUGGAACUGAGACACGGUCCAGACUCCUACGGGAGGCAGCAGUGGGGAAUAUUGGACAAUGGGCGAAAGCCUGAUCCAGCCAUGCCGCGUGUGUGAAGAAGGUCUUCGGAUUGUAAAGCACUUUAAGUUGGGAGGAAGGGCAGUAAGUUAAUACCUUGCUGUUUUGACGGUACCAACAGAAUAAGCACCGGCUAACUUCGUG
rnacentral:rRNA from 1 species